GGUAUGCUACCCUUCCUUUUUUGGUGGUUUUACCUCGUAGUAACUUUCCAGAAAAACGAAAGGGUUAUGAUGAGAGAUUAUGUCAUACCCUGGCACAUGCUUUGUCCAAUGGACCAUGGAAGGGACUUUACUUGGCUGACAAGGACGCACCUCACCAGUAUCAGAGCAACAGCUGUGGGGUGUUUAUGCUGAUGUACGCAAUGUAUUCUACCCUCAAAAGCAAUAUGAUUUCAGUGAGGUGAGUUCUUUCAAAUCUCAAUCAGAUGUGUAGCAUGAAAUAUAAGGCUUUUAAUAAUUUAGUCAUCCUUACUGGAGGCUACAAUUAACAUGCAUCAUAGGUCAUACACAUUACUUUGUCUUCAGGUACUGCACUUACGGGAGGAGAUGGCUACAUCUUCACAAUAAUUUACACUGCCAUAGUACACUGCUAAACAGUACUGUAACAUGGAUUUGUAUUAGGCUAUGAAGUCAUUUAAAGCAUAACUUAACUUUUCAGGGGGACAUGCUCUAUCAGGAGGUGGUGGUUGGACAGCUGUUGGAGACCUUUAUGCUUGAAAGCCCUGCAGAACUAGCUGGCUCCUUCUCACCCUCUCCAUCUCCCCAUCUCAGUCACACCUUCCAAUCACUAAGCAGUGAAAGCCCUGCAGGACUAGCUGGCACACCAAGCUCACCCUCCAUCUCCCCAUCUCAGCCACACGCUCCAAUCUGGCACAACAGAGGACAGGCCAUUCUUACCACCCGAAGUCCUUCAGCAAAUUGUACAAGAGACGCUGAGACUGGACAUGGCGAUGCUUGGCGUGUUCAACAGGGUUUCAAACACAUUCCGAGAACUAAUCAAGCCUCUCCAUCCUUCCAUAUAUAUAAAUGACAGUUUGGCAGGGGACAUUAAGCUUAAUAAAGACAAUCUCAUAUACAUAACGGUUAGAAAGAUUUACAACAAUGCAGGCUG